CGGGACACGUGGUAUCCUGUCUGAAUAUGGGGGGACCAUCCUCCAAGGCUAAAUACUCCUGACUGACCGAUAGUGAACCAGUACCGUGAGGGAAAGGCGAAAAGAACCCCGGCGAGGGGAGUGAAAAAGAACCUGAAACCGUGUACGUACAAGCAGUGGGAGCACGCUUAGGCGUGUGACUGCGUACCUUUUGUAUAAUGGGUCAGCGACUUAUAUUCUGUAGCAAGGUUAACCGAAUAGGGGAGCCGAAGGGAAACCGAGUCUUAACUGGGCGUUAAGUUGCAGGGUAUAGACCCGAAACCCGGUGAUCUAGCCAUGGGCAGGUUGAAGGUUGGGUAACACUAACUGGAGGACCGAACCGACUAAUGUUGAAAAAUUAGCGGAUGACUUGUGGCUGGGGGUGAAAGGCCAAUCAAACCGGGAGAUAGCUGGUUCUCCCCGAAAGCUAUUUAGGUAGCGCCUCGUGAAUUCAUCUCCGGGGGUAGAGCACUGUUUCGGCAAGGGGGUCAUCCCGACUUACCAACCCGAUGCAAACUGCGAAUACCGGAGAAUGUUAUCACGGGAGACACACGGCGGGUGCUAACGUCCGUCGUGAAGAGGGAAACAACCCAGACCGCCAGCUAAGGUCCCAAAGUCAUGGUUAAGUGGGAAACGAUGUGGGAAGGCCCAGACAGCCAGGAUGUUGGCUUAGAAGCAGCCAUCAUUUAAAGAAAGCGUAAUAGCUCACUGGUCGAGUCGGCCUGCGCGGAAGAUGUAACGGGGCUAAACCAUGCACCGAAGCUGCGGCAGCGACGCUGAUGCGUUGUUGGGUAGGGGAGCGUUCUGUAAGCCUGUGAAGGUGUGCUGUGAGGCAUGCUGGAGGUAUCAGAAGUGCGAAUGCUGACAUAAGUAACGAUAAAGCGGGUGAAAAGCCCGCUCGCCGGAAGACCAAGGGUUCCUGUCCAACGUUAAUCGGGGCAGGGUGAGUCGACCCCUAAGGCGAGGCCGAAAGGCGUAGUCGAUGGGAAACAGGUUAAUAUUCCUGUACUUGGUGUUACUGCGAAGGGGGGACGGAGAAGGCUAUGUUGGCCGGGCGACGGUUGUCCCGGUUUAAGCGUGUAGGCUGGUUUUCCAGGCAAAUCCGGAAAAUCAAGGCUGAGGCGUGAUGACGAGGCACUACGGUGCUGAAGCAACAAAUGCCCUGCUUCCAGGAAAAGCCUCUAAGCAUCAGGUAACAUCAAAUCGUACCCCAAACCGACACAGGUGGUCAGGUAGAGAAUACCAAGGCGCUUGAGAGAACUCGGGUGAAGGAACUAGGCAAAAUGGUGCCGUAACUUCGGGAGAAGGCACGCUGAUAUGUAGGUGAAGCGACUUGCUCGUGGAGCUGAAAUCAGUCGAAGAUACCAGCUGGCUGCAACUGUUUAUUAAAAACACAGCACUGUGCAAACACGAAAGUGGACGUAUACGGUGUGACGCCUGCCCGGUGCCGGAAGGUUAAUUGAUGGGGUCAGCGCAAGCGAAGCUCUUGAUCGAAGCCCCGGUAAACGGCGGCCGUAACUAUAACGGUCCUAAGGUAGCGAAAUUCCUUGUCGGGUAAGUUCCGACCUGCACGAAUGGCGUAAUGAUGGCCAGGCUGUCUCCACCCGAGACUCAGUGAAAUUGAACUCGCUGUGAAGAUGCAGUGUACCCGCGGCAAGACGGAAAGACCCCGUGAACCUUUACUAUAGCUUGACACUGAACAUUGAGCCUUGAUGUGUAGGAUAGGUGGGAGGCUUUGAAGUGUGGACGCCAGUCUGCAUGGAGCCGGCCUUGAAAUACCACCCUUUAAUGUUUGAUGUUCUAACGUUGACCCGUGAUCCGGGUUGCGGACAGUGUCUGGUGGGUAGUUUGACUGGGGCGGUCUCCUCCUAAAGAGUAACGGAGGAGCACGAAGGUUGGCUAAUCCUGGUCGGACAUCAGGAGGUUAGUGCAAUGGCAUAAGCCAGCUUGACUGCGAGCGUGACGGCGCGAGCAGGUGCGAAAGCAGGUCAUAGUGAUCCGGUGGUUCUGAAUGGAAGGGCCAUCGCUCAACGGAUAAAAGGUACUCCGGGGAUAACAGGCUGAUACCGCCCAAGAGUUCAUAUCGACGGCGGUGUUUGGCACCUCGAUGUCGGCUCAUCACAUCCUGGGGCUGAAGUAGGUCCCAAGGGUAUGGCUGUUCGCCAUUUAAAGUGGUACGCGAGCUGGGUUUAGAACGUCGUGAGACAGUUCGGUCCCUAUCUGCCGUGGGCGCUGGAGAACUGAGGGGGGCUGCUCCUAGUACGAGAGGACCGGAGUGGACGCAUCACUGGUGUUCGGGUUG
rnacentral:rRNA from 1 species